rnacentral:rRNA from 1 species
GAGUUUGAUCCUGGCUCAGGAUGAACGCUAGCGGCAGGCCUAAUACAUGCAAGUCGAGGGGCAGCGCAGUGUAGCAAUACAUGGGCGGCGACCGGCAAACGGGUGCGGAACACGUACAGAACCUUCCUUCGAGCGGGGAAUAGCCCAGAGAAAUUUGGAUUAAUACCCCAUAGUAUAUUGGAGUGGCAUCACUUUGAUAUUAAAGAUUUAUCACUUGAAGAUGGCUGUGCGUCUGAUUAGGUAGUUGGUGGGGUAACGGCCCACCAAGCCAACGAUCAGUAACUGGUGUGAGAGCACGACCAGUCACACGGGCACUGAGACACGGGCCCGACUCCUACGGGAGGCAGCAGUAAGGAAUAUUGGUCAAUGGACGCAAGUCUGAACCAGCCAUGC